UGUCUUUUCCGCUUGACUGCCG
rnacentral:miRNA from 1 species